UCUGUUGCCCUUUCAUAUGAAAAUGUAUAUAGUGUAAACUGUUAUAUCAGCAACUUGUUCAAUCCAAUAUUCCCCUACCCAAAGCAUGAUACAAAUGGUUAUAGAGCACUUUUAUAUUGUAUGACAGAAUACUGCAAAGGUGUUUGAAUUUUGUUUCUGAUAUUUCUUGUAGGAGUGUUUACGUGACCUUGAUUUGAGGAGGAUGGUCUCUUUGUCCAUGGACGGACCCAACGUCAAUUGGCGUUUUCUUGAGAUGCUGCAGACGGAGCAUGCUGAGCAUUUUGGGGGUGCCCAGUUGGUUGUAGUGGGAAGUUGUGGGCUACACACUCUACAUAAUGCUGUCAAAUGUGGAUUCACUGAGUGGCAUAUGGAGAAGUUCUUAAGAGCUCUUCAUACUAUUUUUCACAAUGUGCCAGCAAGAAGGGAGGAUUUUUGCAAUCUUACAAAGUCCAAAACCUUUGCUUUGCCUUUCUGUGGUCACCGCUGGAUCGAGAACCUCCCAGUAGUGCAGAGAGCCAUUGAGAUCUGGCCUGACAUGAAGAAAUAUGUUGAUGCUGUUACAACCAAGAAGCUCCCAAACCCUGGAACGUCUUCUUAUGACACCAUCGAGGUGGCAACCAAAGACCCUCUUAUUUUGGCAAAGCUGCAUUUUUUCAUGGCAGUUUCACGAAGUGUGACACCCUUCUUGACAAAGUAUCAAACGGAUGAACCUGUGCUUCCAUUCUUUGCCAAUGACUUGGCUGAAUUACUGAAGAAUUUGCUGAGGCGAUUCAUCAAGCGAGAGCUACUGACUGAUGUCACACCUCAGCACUUGGUACGGCUUGAUGUCACUGACAAGCAGUCGAGGGUGCAUCCAAAGGCAGUGGACAUCGGCAUUGGUGCAGAGACUGCCAUAAAGGUGAUCUGAUCACCCAGAAGUUCUCAGAGAUGCUGUCCCUGGAGGUCCGAACUGAAGAAUUUCAGUCCUUCCAGCCAUUCAAGAAAAGACUGGAUGUCUUUCUAAGUAACAUCAUCAGUGAGACCUACCCACAACUUUGGUCCUUUAUCCAGAAGCUUCUACUUCUAUCACACGGGCAGGCAACAGUUGAGCGGGGCUUUUCGGUGAACAAAGAAAUUGAAACUGCUAACAUUCACGAAGACACCGUUGUAGCGCAGAGAAUCGUCUGUGACUACAUCUCUCUCCAUGGAGGGGUUACCAAGGUCCCCCUCACGCCAGCCCUGCUUUCCUCGGUCUCAUCUUCCAGAGCAAGAUAUAGAAUUCAUCUUGAGACGGAGAGAAAAAAGAGAGAAUCUCAAGCAGAGUCAGAAAAACGAAAGGCCAUUGAGGAGAACCUGGAGCAACUGAGAAAGCACAGAAGAUCCAUCAAGGAGGUAGCCGAACAUCUGCUCAGGGAUGCUGAUAAGUUGGCAGACCAGGCUGAAGCCAAGCAAGCAGGCAGCAAGAUGGCGGAGCUAAUAGCAAAAUCGAAUGCCUUUAGAAGGAGCCACAAGGAAAAGAUGGCUGAACUCAUUAAACUGGACGAACAGAUUGCUGCCAAAAGAGCUGAGCUCCAAAAGCUGUAGGAUCUAUUGAAAUGCACACAGGCACACCCACAGACGAAUGCAGGCACACGCACACACAAACACACACACACACGUACACCCCUCACAGUUAUUGUUUUAAAUUAUUCUGUCUUAGGACUUAAAUACAGUGUAGAUUGCAACAACCGCACACAGGCACACCCACAGACGAAUGCAGGCACACGCACACACAAACACACACACACGUACACCCCUCACAGUUAUUGUUUUAAAUGGUUCUUAAAUUAAUGACUUAAAUACAGUGUAGACAGGCUGUAGGUUACUUUGGGAAAAAACAUCCAUACAAAGGCGCACCCACAGACGUGUGCAUGUGCAUACAUGCACUCCUCACACAGUUAUUGUGUUUAAAUAUGGUGAAUGUUAUGUUGAAGCAGAUCUUUGAAAGCUGUUGUCCUCAGAGCAUAUUGUUCAUUAAAGUUAUUUAUUUGAU